AACAUUUGGUUAUUUUUUUCUUCCCAUUUGCUAUUCUCUUUUUGGGCUUAACCUUGAAGUAUAAACGGAUGAUGGAUUUGGUUUUCUAUUUUGCAGACAAAUGCACCUGCAAGGCGAGGACCUAACACAGGCCUUGCACUCCAGCUACCAAACAAUGCACCUGAAAAUCAAGGGGUGCAGAAUCAGAACAACAAUAACCCUGAAAAUCAUGUGGAAAUUAGGAGUAAUUCUCUCUAUGAUCCAGUAUUUGAGACUCUUGGCCUAGCUCCUGACCCUCACAUUAGAUUGUUUGAAGCACAGAACGGUCAAGCGGAAAGAGGGUAUUACAUGUUUAAAUGACAAGUGUCUGGGAUUCUCAUGUCCACUCCUGUUGGAGUCUUUAUCGUUGUUCAAUCAAAUUCUCAAACAAGGGAUUAUUUCUAUGCUUAAUUUCAGUUAACAUUAAGUGAGCAUUUGAGACAUAUUUUACCGAUUUCUUUCCCGUAGAGACAUAAAACUGCAUAGUCUUUGUGGUGUUUUACUCAUUUCAGCAUUAUUAUUUGCAUGGAUUACCAUAGUAUCCCAUUUUAAGUUACAUGGGUUUGGUUUAUAAAAAUACAUCAUCUUUAGACCAAGAAA